rnacentral:rRNA from 1 species
UGGUGGAGUGAUUUGUCUGGUUAAUUCCGUUAACGAACGAGACCCCCGCCUGCUAAAUAGUCCCUGGUACGCAUUCGCGUAGCAGCGGCGCUUCUUAGAGGGACUUUCAGUGAUUAACUGAAGGAAGUUGGGGGCAAUAACA